AUGAGCGUACCUUCUCAAAGUUCAACAUGCAGUUUCCGCAGCCAUACUCUACUGCCGGUGAUAAAUUGUGACGCGAGGUUCUCCCUUUCCUAUCUUGACGAGACCUUGACGCAUUCACACGUCAUUGAGAUUACUACGAUCGAUCUAUGGUUUAUCGACCACAAGCGUUACUGUCACACCAUAUUGCAGGUGUGUAUUGCCAUGUGUAUUCAGCAAUUACGUGCUAGCAGUGCUAGAGCAUAUCCAGCUUUGGUGCUCGAUAAUGGAAGCUUUUUGAAUUUUACUACAUCGACUGAUGCCGGAGUCUGCACUUUGAAACUGCCGAUGAUAACGAGGAAUGACGGGAUGUGGCACAUGCUGCAGUGUGAGGUGGAGCAUGAUUGAGUUAAUGUGUCUGUCUAUCUCAAGUGUGUCCGAGUACGAUGGCUAUAUGCUUGGGAGUAGAACACGUGAGUUUUCACUUUGUGCCCUGGGUGGCCCAGACCUGAAGUCCUCCAUGCCGAAGGAUGGGAUCGUUGGUGAUUGAGGUGAUAUGUCGUGUGUGAUUGUGGCUAGUCUGGAGCAUUGCAUGAUACGCAGCAGUUGAGACUUUUGUCACGAUUUGUCAGAAUGACUGAUGGGUCAGGAUCGGCCAUGAUCCUCGGCAAUUUGACUAGGCGCGAGUGGGCGAUGCGUACGCCACGACUUUCUGUCUGAAUGCGCCACAUCCUGUGUGCCCAUGUACCGUGUCCGACAACUGAUCAGGGUAGCGCAAGAUAAUUCGAGGGUCGUCUUGUCUUCAACAUAGCAAAGUGCAUCCAUGUUCUGAUGCCCGUCGUGAAUCGACACCCGUCUACAAAAUACACAGAAAUCAUCAGUGCUCACGUAAAUUAUCCAGGAUCAUUCAAAGAAAGUCUGGGUUGAUGAGCGAGUAUCAGUGUUCCUCUAAUGACGUUCCUAAGCAGGUAGUCAUCAUAUGCGUUCUACUCCAGUGACAAUGUUGAUGAUUUUCUUUCAUAACCUAAAGAGCAAGGCUUCCACCUGUGUGCGUAGCAGAUGCAGCCGUAUGUACAAUUUGAGAGUUCUGCUAGAUCUUUACCCUUUAAAAGGUUUUAGGAAUACAUUUAGCAAGAAUUAAAAACAAUCGAACUUAUUGCGCAUACUCCUUCCAGCGCCUGACGAGUGGUUAGUACCCGACUGAGAUUAAAUUCACCGUGAUGUGGUGAUUCACGAUUACUAGUAAUUUCGUUUUCAUGCAGUCGAGUUUCAGACUACAAUCCAUGUAAUAUUUUGUUUUGGACAUUAGCUAGAAUUCGCAUUUUUGCCUCUCUUUGUACAAACAUAUGUGGCACGUCUAUAGCCCACAAUAUUAAGGUCAUGAUGACUUGUCUUCAUCCCCAUUAUUGCCUUGACAAUGUCGCAGCACCACUUUAUAAUAUAAAUAAAGCAAGGGUUUACGUCAAUUUAUUGAAUCUAACCAUAGUCUCACGACAUCAACUAAAGACAGCCGUGCAACGCUUGUGAUAUCAGUUAUUAAUGAACAAUUCUUCACACAACAACUUGACUAGCUAAUAUUCUCUAGUGAAAUCACUAGAGAUGGAGCUUUAUAUACGCUAUAUUUCAAAUAUAUAUGCAGUUUCUCUGUUACAUUUCUAUAUCGAUUUAUCAGUGGUACAACUCGUCCCACGACUUUUAGUCGAGGUUUUACUAAUGUAUUCCAAUACAAAGUGGUGGGAGGAUUCGCGCUAUAUAUAACUACGUACAUAGAUAUCUAAAAAGUUUUUUGUGUAUACAAAAGAUAUAGGGCGUAUAGAUCUCUAUCUCUGAUGAAUCUAUUAGGCUAUGCUAGCUAGUAAAGUUGUUGUGCAAAACACUGUUGAAACUGUUGAUUUUGGUGUGAAAAGUGUAUAGGCGAUAUGGAGUAGUCGCCCCGUGAAACUGACUAUCACUGACUCUGUGCUGCUCGUUGUUCCGAAACCUGAGCAGUAUACGCCGCUACGGCUGUUUGUACUGAAGGUACCAAAGCUGUGAAGUAAGGUCACCUUCAUGAAGUGCGCGUAGGUACUCGAUAGCGUUUGUGUAUAAUGCCACUCCUUUGUACGUGAUCGCAUCUGUCUUUCAUUGAAAAUAUCUCUGCUACACACAGAAGACACCCGUGUCAAUUGUAUAGCUCUGUCUUAUGUUGAUCGCUACUCUACUAUAGCUAUGCGUUUUGUGACACGAGACGAUCAGGACAGUUCAUGCCGUAUAACUAGGCCAAAUAUGGAUAAUGUUCGGCGAUGGACAUUCUCAGUCUGGCCUGAUGUGCAGUCAUUUACGGUUCCAUUUACAUUGCUAGAUUCGUCGGCUAGCGUUGAUUGCCGGCGAGAAGCUUAUAAGCCAUGGUUGUUGUUUACGUAUGUUCCGUACGAGUGGUCAUAUUCUUCCUGCACUAGUAGUGAACCUCAAUCUCGAGGAGUGAAAACCCUUGUUUGCGCUAAGCACUUACUGACAUUGCUCGACUUGUAUACUGGUUUCAAGCAUAUCGUAGGUAGUAGGAAAGACUCUACAAGAAGUGGAAUAGGUCUAUGCUCGGUAGUCAGCCUGCAUAGGGGCUUGCGAAGGCUGUAA
rnacentral:sRNA from 1 species